rnacentral:sRNA from 1 species
GGCGUCCAUGUGGGAGGGAAGCCUGCGCUGGCCGCCCACGCGGGAGGGAAGCCUGCGCUGGCCGUCAUACUGACCGCUGCCUGUGACACUGAUGCAGGCAGUCUCUUUUCAGUCUUGGAUGUGCUGGAUCUGUGUGUGGUUGUUCUUCAGUCCCACAAAAACCAGCUGCUUCCCUUGGCUCAUCAGGCCUGGCCCUCGCUCGUUCACCGACUCACACGGGACGCCCCCCUGGCAGUGCUUAGAGCCUUCAAGGUUUUACGUACCCUGGGAAGCAAGUGUGGUGACUUUCUUCGCAGCCGGUUCUGCAAAGAUGUCCUGCCAAAGCUGGCUGGCUCCCUAGUCACCCAGGCCCCCAUCAGUGCCAGGGCUGGACCAGUUUACUCGCACACGCUGGCCUUCAAGUUGCAGCUGGCUGUCUUACAGGGCCUGGGCCCCCUCUGUGAGAGACUGGACCUAGGUGAGGGUGACCUGAAUAAAGUGGCUGAUGCCUGCUUGAUUUACCUCAGUGCCAAACAGCCCGUGAAAUUACAAGAGGCUGCCAGGAG